rfam:Oryza glumipatula chromosome 5, whole genome shotgun sequence.
AAAAAGACAAACCCUAGGUUUCUGUGCUAACGUUUGACAGUUCGUCAUAUAUGAAUUUUUUUAUAAUUAGUAUUUUCAUUGUUGUUAGAUGAUAAAACAUGAUUAAUACUUUAUGCGUGACUUAUCUUUUUAAUUUAUUUCAUAAUUUUUUUAAAUAAGACGGACGGUCAAAUAUUGGUCACGGAAAUCAGGGUUUGUCUUUUU